GGCUCUUGUGAUGACUACAUUACCGCCCCAGUCUGAUUUUAUCCAAUGACUGACUGGUACAGUG